UACGUAGGGGGCAAGCGUUAUCCGGAAUUACUGGGUGUAAAGGGUGAGUAGGCGGUAUGGUAAGCCAGAUGUGAAAGCCUUGGGCUUAACCCGAGGAUUGCAUUUGGAACUAUCAAGCUAGAGUACAGGAGAGGAAAGCGGAAUUCCUAGUGUAGCGGUGAAAUGCGUAGAUAUUAGGAAGAACACCAGUGGCGAAGGCGGCUUUCUGGACUGAAACUGACGCUGAGGCACGAAAGCGUGGGGAGCGAACAGG
rnacentral:rRNA from 1 species